GUCGAAGGUGGGGCUGAUGACUGGGGUGAAGUCGUAACAAGGUAUCCGUACCGGAAGGUGCGGAUGGAUCACCUCCUAACAGGGAGACAACACAAUGAUUUUGAUGCCUGAGUGUUUUUAUUCUUAGGCCGAAAUCCUGUCACCUUAGGUCGAUCGGUACCUCAGCUUUGAAGUUAAGGAUCAGCAGCAAUGUUGGUUGCUUGAUGGAGAUUUUCAGUUCCUAAACUUUGUCUAGGUCACACCCCAAAAGGGAUGAGACUCCUGGGCCAUUAGCUCAGGUGGUUAGAGCGCACCCCUGAUAAGGGUGAGGUCCCUGGUUCAAGUCCAGGAUGGCCCAUUCGGUGUUGGGGGUUUAGCUCAGUUGGUAGAGCGCCUGCUUUGCAAGCAGGAUGUCAGGAGUUCGAGUCUCCUAACCUCCACUGACCGAACUUGAUUCCCAUCUCCAAUCCUUUUGGAGUUGAGCUCGAUUGGAGUGUGAUUUAGAUGUGUCCGCUGGAUGACCCCAGCUUCCUGUCAUUCCAAGUUUUAGGUUGAAGCCUUGAAUUUGGUUGAUAAGAUGCUGGGCUCGAAUCAAGUGAUCAAGCAAUUGAUGAUUUGAUUUGAAGUUCUAGCAGAACCUUGACAACUGCAUAGGUGAGUCUGGAAAAAACAAAGCAUCUUACAGAUGCAUUGUUUUGAAUCUGAUCUUCUGAAAGGGAGAUUUGAUCUAGAACAAUGAAAAUUCUUUUGAGCAAGAGCCGAGACUCUUGAAUGUUCUUUGAUUCGUGUCGAGCGAAUCAGAGUUUGAUCUUGUUUUUAGCAAUAAAAACUUGAGAAUCUGCUUUCAACGGCGGUAAGCGUUCAGGAGGUUAAUUGGUCAAGCUACAAAGGGCUC
rnacentral:misc_RNA from 1 species